ACCUGGUUUUUCUCACCUCCGUUUCAUCCUCAGAGCCAACACGAGAAUUAAGUAAGGCUGAGAAAUACUCCAUGAGGAGGACUGGCCGAGGGAGGAUUUGAACCCGGGAUUCGCUUCCCAGUCCAAUCCAAUCAUUUCACUUUUCUGGGCCACAAUCAAAGCCGUGGCAAUGCAUUGCUCAGGCUGUACAACUUCAGGAAGCAGUGUUUGAUAUUCACUCCCCAUCAAAGAAAAUUCUCUGCAGUGAGAAAAAACCGGCCACCAGGAUUUUGGGCUAGGGUGAAGAAUUCCAUGGUACAGCAAGGAAAGUGGAACUCAAACACAGCCUUGCUUCGCAUAAACUGUAUGACCUCAUAUUCCAUUCUUGAUGACUGUGCCACUCUGUGUUCUUCUGGCUUGGCAGAAAUUGGAAGAGGCACAGGGUUUGUGCUUUUAAGUUACCGCUGUCCGUGGAUAUUCUUGUAUAAAUAGGAAAAUAAGCAGCUCCUUGCCCGGGAAUGACAAACAACAUCUCUGGAGCUCUGCAGGGAUACGUCGGAGGAGGUCAGAGAACACAACUCCUUUUCUGCUCGUCCUGGGCUCCGCUUUCAAAACACUCGGAGAACGUCACGCUGCGUGCCAGAGAGUUCUCAGGCCUGGCCCGAACCUUUAUCAACAGAAGCUUUUGAGGAUUUGGUGCACUGCUCCUUGAAGGCUGCUGUGGGGGCGGGGGGAGGAAAAGAGAAAGUCUGUAAUCUCUCCCCUCUAGAGUCGUGAUAGGAAUGGUAUGCAGUCUUGUUAAGAAUGCUCUCUUAGCUUGGCACUCGGCCACAGCUGGACACCGCAAGGAAUGCAAGAAUCCUCCUCCCCUAGCAGCACGAGCUGGCAAUGAUGCUCUGCUCUGGGUCUCUCCACACAUCCUGCCAUUACAGCAGGACUAGGGGCUUUGAUUCAGCCCCCUAACUCAUUUGCAGUGCUCUGGCUGUGCCUUGGUAUAAUUAAAGUCAUAACUAGAGGUGGGCACGGACCGGGAAAAAGGCGGUUUGUGGUUCGUUGCAUUUCACGAACCGGCAUGAAAUUGUCCGGUUCGCAAACCGGUCCGUUUGGUUCAUGAAUAAAUCACUUCCGGCGCAGCAGAAAGUCUGCAGAACCCCCUCCCCACGAUUGCCUAGGAAACUGAUUGAUCGGCGCCAGGCUGUCUGCAGCGACUAACCGAAAAACUAACUGGCCUAAAAAUCGUUGUGGUUCAUCGUGGUUCGAUAGACAAACCGCCUGUUCGCGAACCAAAAAACAGCUCAGUUCAUGAUGAACUUUGGUUCAUAUUUCGGUUCGUGCCCACCUCUAGUCAUGACUGUAAGACAGCUGAGAGCCAGCACAGGCCCUCAGGCAAAGAUUCCUUCUGAUUCUCACACCAUCCAGAUCCAAUCCAAACGGCACAUUACUUGCUGUUAAGCAUGACAUCUCAGCCUUCCUACAAGGAAUUCAAAUUAGCCUACAUGACUGGACCGUUUCAAUAUCCUCUACAUGGGGCUGCCCCUUGAAGAUGCUUCAGAAGUUUCACUAGUUCAUGAAAGGUGGCAGCCAGCAUCUUGUGCCAAACAAACAGAUAUAAAACUGGUAUUGCUCCAACCUCCAGCGGCACUUUAGCCAAUUAAAAUUAGGGUUAGGAUCCUUGAAUUGGAUGUAGAUCGAGUGGAGUUAGCUGUGUUAGUCUUUAGUUGCAAAAUAGUAAAGAGCCCAAUAGCACCUUUAAGAUUAACCAACUUUAUUGUAGCAUAAGCUUUCGAGAACCACAGCUCUUUGCCACCUGAUGAAGAGAGCUGUGGUUCUCAAAAGCUUAUGCUAAAAUCUUAAAGGUGCUACUGGACUCUUUACUAUACUGAAUUGGAUGUGGAAGCAAGCAAAAUAAUCUGAAGGACUGCCGAGUUACAUUUUCAGAUCUAAGGAGGUGGCCUUCCUGGGACCUGCCCGAUCUGAAGUGGGCAGACCCAGGUUCGAAUCCCCGCUCUGCCACGGAAGCUUGAUGGGUGACCUUGGGCCAGUCACACACUCUGAGCCUAACCUACCUCACAGGGUUGUUGUGAGGAUAAAAUGGAGGAGAGGAGAACAUUGUAAGCUGCUUUGGAUCCCCACUGGAGAGAAAGACAGGGUAAAAAUGAAAUAAAUAAAUCUCAACCCUCAACC